rnacentral:rRNA from 1 species
CACGUAGGGUGCGAGCGUUGUCCGGAAUUAUUGGGCGUAAAGAGCUCGUAGGCGGUGUGUCGCGUCGGCCGUGAAAACCUGCAGCUUAACUGUGGGCGUGCGGUCGAUACGGGCAUCACUGGAGUUCGGCAGGGGAGACUGGAAUUCCUGGUGUAGCGGUGAAAUGCGCAGAUAUCAGGAGGAACACCAAUGGCGAAGGCAGCUCGCUGGGACGGUACUGACGCU